rnacentral:piRNA from 1 species
UGGAAGACCAUAUCUCGAAUUCAGUCUCC